GAUGAACGCUGGCGGCGUGCCUAAUACAUGCAAGUCGAACGCAUAGCGAAAGGUGCUUGCACCUUUCAAGUGAGUGGCGAACGGGUGAGUAACACGUGGACAACCUGCCUCAAGGCUGGGGACAACAUUUGGAAACAGAUGCUAAUACCGAAUAAAACUUAGUGUCGCAUGACACAAAGUUAAAAGGCGCUUCGGCGUCACCUAGAGAUGGAUCCGCGGUGCAUUAGUUAGUUGGUGGGGUAAAGGCCUACCAAGACAAUGAUGCAUAGCCGAGUUGAGAGACUGAUCGGCCACAUUGGGACUGAGACACGGCCCAAACUCCUACGGGAGGCUGCAGUAGGGAAUCUUCCACAAUGGGCGAAAGCCUGAUGGAGCAACGCCGCGUGUGUGAUGAAGGCUUUCGGGUCGUAAAGCACUGUUGUAUGGGAAGAACAGCUAGAAUAGGAAAUGAUUUUAGUUUGACGGUACCAUACCAGAAAGGGACGGCUAAAUACGUG
rnacentral:rRNA from 1 species